GCAGCUCUUACAGAUAACACUAGUUUGCCCAGUUCCCAGCAUUCUCCAGAUAACAUUUUUUUCCUUCCCUCUUUUUUUUUUUUUUUUUCCUCCAGAUAACGCUGAACAGACUUCCCUGUCCCUGUCUGCUUAGAAUGCCAUUUUGACUUGGCAAGAGUCUUGGGAACAUAAAAGGAGUGUUUCAGGGACAUGCUGCUGAAUAGAUUUAUUCUUUUCCUGGGUAUGAUGUGUCAUUAUAGCAUUCCAAAGUAUUUAUUUUUACAGUUUUUGGUUAAUUUUCUUGGAGAAAUUCCUGUUCUGAGAGACAAAACUGCUGAGAUGAAACUGGCCACUCACAAUGACAACCCACCUCAGAGCUUCACUCGCUUCACCCACUGUCUCUCCUACACUCAAGCCCCUAUCAACUUAGAUGAUGGAAGUAGGGGCUCCCCUG
rnacentral:lncRNA from 1 species